AUUGAACGCUGGCGGCAGGCCUAACACAUGCAAGUCGAACGAGUGGCGGACGGGUGAGUAAUGUCUGGGAAACUGCCCGAUGGAGGGGGAUAACUACUGGAAACGGUAGCUAAUACCGCAUAACAUCGGAUGUGACAAGAUGGGAUUAGCUAGUAGGUGGGGUAACGGCUCACCUAGGCGAAGAUCCCUAGCUGGUCUGAGAGGAUGACCAGCCACACUGGAACUGAUCCACGGUCCAGACUCCUACGGGAGGCAGCAGUGGGGAAUAUUGCACAAUGGGCGCAAGCCUGAUGCAGCCAUUCCGCUUGUAUGAAGAAGGCCUUCGGGUUUUAAAGUACUUUCAUCGAGGAGGCGUUACUCGCAGAAGAAGCACCGUCUAACUCCGUGCCAGCAGCCGCGGUAAUAC
rnacentral:rRNA from 1 species